rfam:Cicer arietinum chromosome Ca1, whole genome shotgun sequence.
AACCCUGUGAUGAGCCCAAAGCGAACUAUUCUUUCGCCUUUUACUAAAGAAUACCGUGUGCUCUUCACUAAUAGCGGUAUACGCUAAUUUUUGAAAGAGUUUUCUAUAUAGAGAACU